UACGGGGGGGGCAAGCGUUGUUCGGAAUUACUGGGCGUAAAGGGCUCGUAGGUGGCCAACUAAGUCGGACGUGAAAUCCCUCAGCUUAACUGGGGAACUGCGUCCGAUACUGGAUGGCUCGAGUUUGGGAGAGGGAUGCGGAAUUCCAGGUGUAGCGGUGAAAUGCGUAGAUAUCUGGAGGAACACCGGUGGCGAAGGCGGCAUCCUGGACCAACACUGACACUGAGGAGCGAAAGCGUGGGGAGCGAACAGG
rnacentral:rRNA from 1 species